UAAAUAGGACUUAUUAUACCGGUGUUGUUUCCGAUUAGCGGUCGGAAGGUAAAACAAAAUCAUUUUUAUUUUCACCCGCAUCCAAAAAACGUUGCAAUAAUUACGUUAAGCUCUUUUUUUGGAUGCGGGUGAAUUUUUGUUUUGCCUUCCGACCGAGACUUCUCUCUUCGCUAUGUGGAAACUACACGGUAUAAUAAAUCCUAUUUAUACAAGGUCCAGGGAGACGAUAUAAAAAAAGCUAAAACACUAAGGACUAGAGGUAAAAAGAAUUAUCAUUUUUAAGUUGGCGAUCGAUAGCCAAGCGCGCGCAAAGGUCGUCGGUCCUGCCGCAAUACGACACCGUUUUCCAUACCAGGAUACGACGCAAUAUUCUAGGACCUUGCGACGCAAUCCGACUUAACCGCAUUCCACCCAAAGAACUAUAAUAUUCGUCCGACGACCGGUUUAAUUUAACCGGUAAAGUAGGACGAAUGGAACGAGUAAAAGUCGUUGAUCCAAAACAGGAGGGAUUAACCGAUAUAUUUUAGGCAAAACUUUAUUAAUAUCGAAGCGACUAUUUUGAAUGCCUAGUGCCAAUGCCGAACUAUUUUUCGGGCCUAGGCGUAGGUAUACGGUGAAGAGUCCGUAAAUGCUAUAAAAGAUCGCAGAUGCGAUUUCGAAAUAAUUGGUGCCUCGGAUGACCAGAGCUAACUGCGCAGUUUGAGAACGACAUCUCGAAACUUGGGGGAGAAGAGUUUUCGAACGGUGUUCGAGUCUUUCCGGCUCCGUUACCCGGUGACUGGAAGCGAGAGAUUUUAGAUUAGAAAUUUUCUUCCCAAUUACUCGGUAGGUUAACGUAGUCGGGAAGUGCGGAGCCAAUUUAAUCUCUUAUUUGUAGGAUCGAACCAACGGAUUGCUUAUUUGGAAGUUAACGGCAUUUUUAAAGAUUGGCUGGAUGCUUGCCAUCCCCGGAGACCAGGUAUGUAGGAUCUACCAAUCCAGAUUUUACCGAGAAUACGGGUAAGAUCGACCGAGUACGAAAUAUAACGAAAAGCUUUAUUUCGUUAAGAUGGGCAAAACGAACUGCGGUAAUUUGAAUUUAAUACUGUAUUUAUGAAAAGAUACGUAGGUAAUUAAUUAGAAAAAGCUUUACUCCGCAGGACAGAAUUUAUUUGGCCAAACAGACCAAAGGUGGUAUUUACUAUUUCCAGAAUGAGAGAGUACGGCUGGGAUUAGUUUUUUGGCUUUUUAAAACGCGAUACCCGUAUUUUAAAAUUUCUACAUUUGUAAAUUUGUAGAUCCUCCACUCGAAAUUUAACCGACGACAAAAGAAGUGCCGUUGCAGGUAGACUAGUUUUCUGAUGACAAAAGCUUUCGACUUCCAGUCGUAAGAAAACGAAAUUGCAGUCGGAUUAAUUUUCUAAUAAAUAUAUCGAACUUGGGAAACUUAGUACAGCGCGUUAUCAGUACGGCUUCGGGUUGAAUACUAAUGAGCAAUUUGUUUCCAAAAGGUUUUUGAAUUUUAUUCAAAAAAUACAUUCUUAUUACAGUGCGAGAAAAAUAGGAAUGACAUUUCAACCGAAUUGGUCGCGAGUGUGAUCUGUCAGUUUUAGAUCUAAUUUAAAACAUUUCGAAACUACUUUCGACCGUAAUUCUGGCUGCUGUGCCGCCCUAAUUUCGUUUAAUCCCGACGGGAGUUUCGGAGAGUAUUUUCCGAUAUGGUUAAUGUUAGAUUCAAUACUUGAGUUGAAAAUGGAAUUAACGUGAAAAUUGAAGACUCUUUCAACGAUAAGAUCGAUCGAUCACUCGUCCGAAUUGCCACAGAAUGGUCUUGUUAGAUUUUAGCAAGUUUUCUUUUGAUGGAUUUUUUCAGAUAAUUGCGGACAACUGUUCUUAACGUAAGUAUUUUUGUUCUUGUGUAAAAGCUGCUUGCCUGCCAAUACAUUGUAACGACUCGAUUUCUGGUAACUAAAGUUACCAAGCAUGAUUUUAUUUUCAAAACAAGAUUAUUUUUAAUUUAAUGUUCUGUAAGUAUAUAAAAAAUGGUGUUCUGCCUUUUUUGUCCAUGUCGAAACAAGUUGGAAGCUGGUGAAAAUAUUGUAUAUUGUACGUAAGCUAAUGCUCUGGGGUCAAGAGAGUGACUCCACCAUUUCCUUAAAUUUUAGAAAAAUUACUGCUUUCUGGUCAAAUGCAUGAUUUUUAAGUUAACGUUGGCUUUAUAAAUCUGAUCGUUCUGGUUUGGAUACAACAUCGGUACACGUCAUUACUGCGAUUUUGGUGGUAAAAUUCGUUAAGCCCGGGACGAGACGACGUGUUAAGUCUUAUGUAAAAUGUAUUGUAAGUUUUGUUACGUAUUGUAAGUAGUUGUAGCAACUUUUUAAUUGCCACGAGUCACUAUUUCAAACUUGCCUAUCUUCAAAACAGUUAAAUUGGAGAAAGCUCUGCCGUCACGAAGAUCGAAGUCUGUCCGGUUUUAGUGGACUUCAGGGAGUAUUUAAGCAAACGAAAUUUUAGAUGUAAAACUUCCAUUUACUUAAUGCCUUUCGUAUUCAAUAGAUGUAAAUUCUAAGAAGCUUUCAAGCUUAGAAUGAACUAUUGCAGUACGAAUCCUCGUCCAAUUGGAGGAUGCAAUGCUCGCUCGAUAUCUCAGGGAGUAUACAAUUGAUUUAACUUCACGCAUCCCCUUGUGUGAUUAAUUUUACUCGAAUUGCAGGUUAGGAAGACAAAGAUCUAACAGUUAACUGUAAAACAAAUUUGAACAAUUCAGUCUGUCGAUUUGAUUCCAAUUGGAAGAUUGGACGUCGAUAAGAAUUGACUACCGAGAAAUUUCAAAAUCGAUAUUGUCGAGUUUGUUUCGGAAACGAGACGUGACGAAGUGUGAAAUAAAAUAAGUCUAUGGCGAAAAUGACGAAUUUACGCGUAUCGAUUUAUUAAAUAAGUUGUAAAUAUUUUCUGUUUGCCAUGAUUGUGUACCGAUUUUCUUAAUGUUACCGGCAAAAGUGGUAAUUUCUAGUAAAAUACUUGGAAACUCGUUUGUAAGUUACGGAUUACGAAUUGCUGUUUUCCGCCCGUUUACGUCCUAUAUUGUCAAGCUCCCAAAAAUGAAAAUUACUAAUUGUAACGCGGAGACUAACGUUUCGAAUUUGUUAAUCUGAAAAUGACCUCGAUAGUAAUACGCGUUUCGACUUAGAAAUAAAUCGAAUAAUCGAUUUUGUACGGCAUCUCGGCGAGAAAAAUUAUCAACUGUUACUGGAAAUUUCUUUCUGGGAGCUCGAGUGGUAGGACUCGAUACCUCCGAAAAAACAACUUUGACGCUUUCUCGGAAAGUAAAACUUUACUCUUUUUUUCGUGAUCAAAAGAAUACAUUGAACUUAUUGUCUUUAAUAAAACGAAAUUUUAAAAUAAUCUGUGAAUUCUCUUCUGUAGCCAUCCGUUUAUGUAGGCCUAUAUUAAAAUAACUUUUCGUAAAUUUUAAUAUAAACUUCCGGAGUGGUAACGAAAAUCGCAAGAAUGGGGGAAAACAUUUUACUUCCUGCAGUCUCCGAUUGAAAAUGCAAACGUUUCGGUUGUAAUCGCAAGAGAUCGAUCAUCUUGGCGAUUUUAUCGAUGCUCGAAUAAAAUAUGAUGUUACCCGUACACUGUUGGUGUCAACCUGGCUAUUUUAUCCGAGUAUUUUCGGAUAGAGUGAGCGCGAUUUUUCCAAAACUUCGGGUGUACUUUCCGAAAUCUUUCUCGGUGUCAUUACUAUUUAAUCUAUACGAAGACAAACAGCAAUAUCGACGCAAACGUGUGAUAAAAUUAGUUUGAUUUCGAAAGUACAGUACGUAUACCACGAAAUGUCUGUAUAACGAAUAUAUCAUGAAUCCCUGGACAAUUUCUUAUUCGGCUCGAUGCAAAAAUGUUUCGGUUUACCGCAAUAAAAAUCUGUCCCUUACGAACGAAUAUUUCGUUAUAACUGAAUCUAUGAUGCAUAAAUCAAUUAUUAUUAGUAAAUGAUGAAUAUUAUGUCAAACUGUCUGGCAACAUUUAUUUUUAUCGUUAGUCAUGGUUUCGUUUUGAUGCUAUUACUCUAGGGCGGGGAUGGGCGAACCCGUGGUAGGUAACGUAUCGUACGAUUUCGAUUUAUCAUCAUCAAUCAUCCUUUCGGUUUAUCACUCUACUUUUAAUAGAGGAAUUAGAGGACUGUCGUUUAACGGCUGACUUAGCCCUAAGUAAGGAAACGGAAGGAUGGGGGAAGAGAUUGUGUAGAAUGAAAUGGUGAAGAAAGGAGGAUAGGAAAGUAAGGGUGGAACGAAGGAAAGGGGACCUUAAAGGGCCCAUGAGCGUCCACAACGCAUAAAUUUUCAAAUAAGAAUUAAAAGUACAAAGAAAUAAAAUUAAAAUACAUUGACUGGCUGGUUUUGCCUUACAAUGGAAGUCUAAAAAACAAUUGUUAAAAACAAACUCAUAUAUUAUUAAACUUGGUAGAGGAUUUUGAAACAUUAAAAGUGUUCCGCGUUACUGCUGUAGUUUUCUUUACCCGUUGGUUGGUUGUCCUGAGUUCUGGUCUUCUUCUGGUGUUGCUGUUAUAGUUUACACGUUGUUUCAAACCUCUGAAGUUGGUGUAGCUUUGGUACACUGUCAGAUUUUGGUUAUGAUUAUGAAGUUUAAAAAAAACAAGCACAAUCAAAGAAGCGAAAAA